CUCCCGCGGUGUUGAAGUGAAAGCCCGAUCCGCAGUUGAUCUCUUUGCUUCAGAUGGGGGAGCUGCUCUCAGCGUCUGGAGGAAGCUCUCUGCACUUCAGCUUCGGGGAGCUCGCAACGUCACCGCAUGCCUGCACUCGGCUUGUCCGUGAAAAAAAAGCGAGGGCAGUCCGCAAGCGCCAGCGGAACUGAGAUUCCUUUCUAAUGAUCCAACUAUUCCAGUUAUUAUGGAAAUUGUUACACAAUGCCGAGGUGAGGAAAGACAGCAACCCUCGGAGAGGAAUUAAUGCAUUUCAAGGCAAAGGCUUGUAUGUUCCAGUACUCCUAUGCACUGCUUCCAUAGUAACUGCAAGAUGGUCGCUGGAGGAGACUGAACAUGGCCUUGAAGGAUCACUUUGAGAGCCUGCAGGCCCAGCUUCAGACUGUAUCGCAUUAGCAUGGAUGCUGGAAUCCGGACUGGCUAGAUGGUCAAUUGCUGCCAGCCAUGAACAGCCUUCACAGUGCUUCAUUGGAAUUAGUAGCUUAUAUUCCUUUAUAUUGUACUAUAUUACAUCAGCACUUGUCUGAUCAACUGUCAUUGUAACUGCAGUUGGAAGAAUAAAACUGCACGGGUUGCAUCCUGAACAUGUUAUACCCCAUCUAAGGGAGAGCUUUUUUUUCCUUAAUGCCCAGUAUAGCAUAACAUCUUGUCAUU